AGCGCGUUGUGGACGUUGAGGCUGUGGUUGCGAGAAGUAGUUAAGUGUACGUACAGUGUAUAUGCAUGUGUGUGUGUGUGUGUGUGUGAAAGCCGUUAAGAAGUCUAGCACUGAGUAAGCCAACGAAUAUAUGAGGCUGGCAACAAAAAGCCGCCAGCGACAACUCUGAAAGACUAAAAGAGUGAACAACACCAACAACAACAGCAACAACAACAGCAGCAGCAACAACAACAAGAAAAUCUGUAAAACGGGCACGUCGCGCUAUUUUAUUUUCAUCUCUUCAUCGUACUUUUCUACCUAUCCAUGUAUUGGCUGCUCUGCGGCUCUCUACCUUCUUUUGCUUUGCCUUUUCUGCUGCCGUGUCUUGCGGUCUGCGUGUGUCUCCGUGCUGUAUGUGUGUGUGUGUGUGUGUGUGGACUGAAAUUUCAGGUGCAGCCGCAUUGAAUUUCUUGAACAAGUUUUAGUCAGAGUUUGGCCUUCGUGUGGCAUGUGCAAUAGCGUUCGGCCUUGCGCUUUAAAAAACUACGAGCAUCUAUAAAAACUGCAAUUUAUAAUUUAAAGAAAAUAAAAUAAAA